GUCAGCAACCCAGCACUAAAGUGACUGGGCUUCCAGCCUAAAAACUGGGAGUCUCUCACGCUUCUUGUGACCGCUCUGCGGUCUAGCUGACCAGAUUAAGUGCUCCGGGCACUACGUUUCAAGGAAGUGUUAAAGUUCUCACCAAGAAAUGCGUAGCUAGUUUCUUGCUCUGAA
rnacentral:sRNA from 18 species